GGCUGAUUCAGCUAGAGGCUGUAGACUACUGAGGCCUACUUGUGAGUAUACAGAAGGCAAUGUGAGCAUACAGCUGCCUUUGUCCAAAGUUGUCGUAUGAAAACCUUAACUUACCACUGAUAAAUCAGGAGGUGAUGGUAGAAAUUCGAUCUGCUUUAGCCAGUUCAGUUCAGACCAGUUUGAAACAGCUAUCCAAACAUUGAUUAAAGGGGACCUUCCCACUACCAAACAGUCUGGAAACAUGCACAGCAUGCUGUCAAAUGUUACUGGCCAUGUUAAGCAACUGUGGGACAAAAUGGUUACUAGAUAAUUUUGUGAGGGACAUAAAAUUUAUCUUUUUCACUUUUUUGCAAAAUUUCUAUCAUGAAUAUAAUUUAUACCCGUAUAAAUAUUUUACUUA